rnacentral:rRNA from 1 species
UGGGGGAUAUUGCACAAUGGGGGAAACCCUGAUGCAGCAACGCCGCGUGAGGGAAGAAGGUUUUCGGAUUGUAAACCUCUGUCCUCAGGGACGAUAAUGACGGUACCUGAGGAGGAAGCUCCGGCUAACUACGUGCCAGCAGCCGCGGUAAUACGUAGGGAGCGAGCGUUGUCCGGAAUUACUGGGUGUAAAGGGUGCGUAGGCGGCUAGGCAAGUCAGUCGUGAAAGGUCGGGGCUUAACCCCGGAACUGCGAUUGAAACUGUUUAGCUUGAGUGAAGUAGAGGCAGGCGGAAUUCCCGGUGUAGCGGUGAAAUGCGUAGAGAUCGGGAGGAACACCAGUGGCGAAGGCGGCCUGCUGGGCUUUAACUGACGCUGAGGCACGAAAGCAUGGGUAGCAAA